CAUUCAUUCAUCUUUGGCCGCCGAGCUACUUUUCCUCUCCUCCUCUCAAAGCCAAAGCCCUCCCCGUCUUCUCACCUUCCUCAUGAACUCCGGCGAGCUCCAGCCCGUAUGCACGGCCGUGGUGGCCGUGAAUGAUGGCAUAUGCAUGCCCAUGUGUCGUGGCGAGUGAGAAGAGGGUUGUACUCGGCACCCCCUUUCAUCCGGCCAACUCCGGCGAGCCGUCGUUCAUGGAUGGCGAGAUGGCCGUUAGGGAGUCUGAGGCGCAUGCCCUGAUGGGGCUACGGCGGUCGAGUACUUCCCCGGACGAGGGCGGGACAAAUCGACACAUAACCACACAGAUCGGUGGAUACAAGUGUUCAUCCAUGGGAUGGGCGCGCUUCAGGCUAUGAAUCCUCAAGCAGGUGUUCAUAGUUCAUGGUUCAGAAUGCAGAUCUGGGCCUGCUGAGUCAAACAUCGACUGAAAGUCAGACGGCCAACGCACACGCUGCUUCAGUUAGAUGUGCAACUUCAGUGCAUGGAGGAGCUGCACGGCUGUUCCUGUUUUCAUUUCAGAUGACCGUGGGCGUUUCCAACGAAGAAAAAAAGAAAAAAAAACCCAGAAUGCAAAGGGAGUCAUUUCGCUGUUUCGAUCCAUUGGGUGGGAAUUACGCACUGGGCCUCAGAAAUCCACAUGGGCUCGUUUGCUGGAGAUGGCCCAACCUCCCCUAUUGUCCACGGGACAAAUAGGAGGAUCCAGAGCCUUCCAGACUCGAGGGGACUCGGCAGAGACGACGGAGAGGCAGGACGUGAGGCGAGUCCACCUCUACGCCCCCCCGCCGCCGCCGACGCCGACGACGACGACUCCACGCGCCGGCCCCCCUCCACGCGCCUCCGCCUCCAGGAGCACGUGUGGUCUCCUUCAAUGGAGAUGGCUGGUUGCAGCUUGAGUAAAGUACAAAUGGAGGUGGAUGACAAAAGCCCCAAAGAACAUGAUACUAUCAAAAUCUUCCUCGAGGAAGAAAUGGAGACUGAGGUGGAAGCUUUUUCUGGUUUUAUCAUUGGUUCGUAUCUCCGUGGGAAGAUGACAGUGAGCUUUCCGCCCAAUUCUGACCGUUUUGUACAAUUUGAGCUGGGGAAGCUGUUUGACCUUAAACUCGAAUCGCAUCCUUUCAUUGAUAAAGAUCUCUUGAGGAACAUGUGGUAUGUGAAGCCUAAAUCCCCGGAGCGACCCUUUCGCACUGGACCUGAUGAGAUUCUGACAUGGAAUCAGUCUGUAUUUAUUGCGCCCCCCCUCCCAUGUUAAAAGGUGGCCCAUUCUUACUUUUUUGCGGACAUAAAGCUAAAUGUCACAGGUCCUGACCACAGUAUGGUUAGUGUGAGCUACAGAUAUCCAGGUGAAUCCCCACUACAGGACUUGGUGAUAACUGUUCCUUUUCCUCGUGUUGACGAGUCUGGCCGGCCAAGGCGUGUGGUUAAAACCUACAUUUGGCACAAUGUUGGGACGCAUGUUGAGAACGCUGACUGCAUUGAGUGGCACCUUGGAUCUGUUAACGACAGCAAUCCCAGAGGUGAUUUUUCUGUGGAUUACUAUUAUGAUGGUGGGACUUAUGAUAUAGAGCAAUUUUUCCCAAUCAAUGCCAGUUUCUUUUAUACCAACUGCUGCGCCUUAGAUGUUAAAAGAGCAAGGGGACCAGACGGCCUGCUGGACUUUGUGAAGAGCAAAGCUGGCCACGGGCGCUGCACCGUUCAUGAUUCCCGUGUGAUGCAACGCCGUGUUGCUGAGGCAAGACAGCGGGCCGCUGAGGCUGAAGCUUCUGCUUUAGCUUGGCAGGACCAACCAUGGGAUGAUGAAGGUGGAAAUGUCUGGGAGGUCUAUUGAUCAGGUUGUUGUGAACAUGGUUUUUGCACUUUUGCCUCAGACCUUCUUGCUCUGCUUGGCAAGAACUCCCUUGGAAGAUGAAGAUAGAAACUUCUGGGAUGUAUAUUGAUCAGAUUGUUGUGAUCAGGUUUCUUGCACUUCAGCCUCGUACCUUCCUGCACUUAGUUCGCCUACGAUGGUUCACUACUUGUACUGCGAUGGCUUCAUUUCUCCCUGAACUAUCAUCGUUUGGAUAUGUAGUCCUAGACUAAAUUGCGUUUACGCUAGGCAGGUGCUCUGUUGUCCUUGACUUGUGAUGUAAGGUGGUUCAAGCACUUGGUUUCGGUUCUGUAAUACAUAAUGAACCCGUGGAUGCCCUUUUCUUAA